AGCGGCAGACGGGUGAGUAACGCGUGGGAAUCUACCCAUCUCUACGGAACAACUCCGGGAAACUGGAGCUAAUACCGUAUACGUCCUUUUGGAGAAAGAUUUAUCGGAGAUGGAUGAGCCCGCGUUGGAUUAGCUAGUUGGUGGGGUAAUGGCCUACCAAGGCGACGAUCCAUAGCUGGUCUGAGAGGAUGAUCAGCCACACUGGGACUGAGACACGGCCCAGACUCCUACGGGAGGCAGCAGUGGGGAAUAUUGGACAAUGGGCGAAAGCCUGAUCCAGCCAUGCCGCGUGAGUGAUGAAGGCCCUAGGGUUGUAAAGCUCUUUCAACGGUGAAGAUAAUGACGGUAACCGUAGAAGAAGCCCCGGCUAACUUCGUGCCAGCAGCCGCGGUAAUACGAAGGGGGCUAGCGUUGUUCGGAAUUACUGGGCGUAAAGCGCACGUAGGCGGAUACUUAAGUCAGGGUGAAUCCCGGGGCUCACCCCGGAACUGCCUUUGAUACUGGGUAUC
rnacentral:rRNA from 1 species